rnacentral:rRNA from 1 species
GAUCAUGGCUCAGGAUGAACGCUAGCUACAGGCUUAACACAUGCAAGUCGAGGGGCAUCAUGUCGGUUGCUUGCAACCGAUGAUGGCGACCGGCGCACGGGUGAGUAACGCGUAUCCAACCUUCCCCUUAGUAGGGCAUAGCCCGUAGAAAUGCGGAUUAACACCCUAUGUUCUUCAUGGAUGGCAUCUGACGUGAAGCAAAGUUUACGCUAAGGGAUGGGGAUGCGUCUGAUUAGGUUGCAGGCGGGGUAACGGCCCACCUGGCCGACGAUCAGUAGGGGUUCUGAGAGGAAGGUCCCCCACAUUGGAACUGAGACACGGUCCAAACUCCUACGGGAGGCAGCAGUGAGGAAUAUUGCACAAUGGGGGAAACCCUGAUGCAGCAACGCCACGUGUGGGAAGAAGCAUUUCGGUGUGUAAACCACUGUCAUGAGGGAAUAAGGCCCUUAUUCGUAAGGGAUUGAAUGUACCUUGAGAGGAAGCACCGGCAAACUUCGUGCCAGCAGCGGC